AGGGCUUGGGAAAUGGCUGCUGUGUGGUCGGAGCCAGGUGGUUCCAGCCUCGUACCAGCCGGCCUCACCCGUGCCUGAGAUUAAUUCCCACGCAGACUCCGGGCUGGAGUUCGUCCUAUGCAGUAACAGGUGUGAGCAUUCAUGGAGCGUUUUGAUGGUCAUGUAUGAUACUGCAUACAACA
ensembl:scaRNA